rnacentral:snRNA from 1 species
GUGCUCGCUUCGGCAGCACAUAUACUAAAAUUGGAACGAUACAGAGAUUUAGCAUGGACCCUGUGCAAGGAUGACACGCAAAUUCGUGAAGCAUUCCAUAUUUUU